rnacentral:misc_RNA from 1 species
GCAGGUGAACCUGCGGAAGGAUCAUUGAAGAAAAAUAGUGUGAGAGGGAGGAGCAAACUAAAAAUUUCUCUUUCCAUCGCACAACCAACCCCACAUGUGAACACGUGUUAUGUGAUGCAGAGUGGAGAGUUAAGGGAUGGUUAUGUUCCUUUGCUGUUCCUCUGCAUACCAUGAUCAACAAAACCCUUUUUUUGUUUCUUUUUAUAGCAACAUGAGAGUGAAGAGUUUUCUUCCUACUGUGUUACUAUAA